rnacentral:lncRNA from 1 species
GUGGUUCUUACUUUACUGAACAUUCUUGCUUCUUACAAUUAUCUCAAUUUAUAAUGAACUUGACCCAUUAGUUACAGAGGAAAAUAUUUUGUUAAAAUUUACAAAAAUUUACAAAAUUUACAAAAAUUUACAAAAAUUUACAAAAAUUAUUAAAAAUUGACUAUAAAGGCAAUAACUCCUUAAGGGGUCAACUGACCUUUUUGGUCAUGUUGACUUAUUUGUGGAUCUUACUUUUCUG